rnacentral:lncRNA from 1 species
GUGAGUUUGAGGCCAGCCUGGGCAAAGAUGUCAAAUAGAGAAUCCAGAGGAAGUGGAAUUUAAGCAAAGCCCUAAGGACUGACUAUGCAGGAAACGCCAAGAUGCUGAUGGCCAAGGCCGGAAAGGAUGAAGGGGCUCGGCCUGUGGAGAGGAUGCAGGCAUCUGAGGGCAGCUGAUGGCCAAACCCAGACUGCAAACAAACUUGUAUCCAGUUACAGGAGUGCAGAUACUGAGCUGUUCUGUUGGUGGCGUUCGGGGUUUCACAGUGGACACUGAACAGUGCCGCUCUCCCAGCACGUGAGGGCCAGGCAGUGGGCAGGCCCCUCCCCGCGGGCUGCAGGAUGCCGCUCUGACCGCAGUCUGGUGCGUGUAAGUAUCUCAGUGUGCUUUUCAUUCGCACCUCCUGAUUACCAUGUAAGGUUGAGCAUAAUUC